rnacentral:lncRNA from 1 species
GAGCAAGCUAAGAGAGAGGUAACAGAAAAAUGGAGAUGUUUUAGAAAGCCUAGAGUAUCUAUAAAGUCCCAUGAAGCAUGAGAAAACAAGUAGGGCUCCAUAUAAGGAAUAUCAUAUUGGGGUUAAAAUAAAGGGCAAAGCAGAGAACAACAAUAAGCUCCGUUAAAAUAUAGCAAAGAAAGUUCUGGCGCUCAAAAGGUGGAGGGAAAAAUUAUUCUUAUUUUUUAUUUUUAUUCAAUUUCAAAUGAUGAAUAUUAUAGUUAUAGUUUGAAGGUUUAUUUCUAGGGCUUGUAGUUUUUUAGGAAUUUUAGGAUGUACAUGCCAUUACAAGUAGUAAUAAAUGCCUAUAGAAUGGGUACAAAUAUGGGGCACAGCCAUAUAUGGCAUUAAUCACUCAUUCCAUGAAUGUAAUAUACCUCAUUGUCAUAGAUUUUUACCCUUUCUGAUAUCUAGAUCAUUGAUAACCUCACUUCAAAAACAAUAUCGAAAUUCUAUCAGUUCAUAAUUGUGCCUCUCGAAUGCACCUUUCAACACCUUGUAUACAACUUAAGUAAAUAUGAAUCAAGGACUGUCUGUAAAAGGAAAAACCAAAAGUCAUUGCAAGGGUGGAAUUGAUAACGUUCUUACAAACAGAAAUGCCCUAUUCCUUAGCCCACAAGUAUUGCCUUCCCAUAUUAAUAGAACAUCAAACUUUCCAAGAGUUCUUUUUCUUUUUUUUUUUAAAGUAAAUG